rnacentral:misc_RNA from 1 species
GAAAUGCGAUAAGUAAUGUGAAUUGCAGAAUUCAGUGAAUCAUCGAAUCUUUGAACGCACCUUGCGCUCCUUGGUAUUCCUUGGAGCAUGCCUGUUUGAGUAUCAUGAAAUCUUCAAAGUAAAUCUUUUGUUAACUCAAUUGGCUUCUACUUUGGUAUUGGAGGUCUUUGCAGCUUCACACCUGCUCCUCUUUGUUCAUUAGCUGGAUCUCAGUGUUAUGCUUGGUUCCACUCGGCGUGAUAAGUUAUCUAUCGCUGAGGACACUGUAAAAGGUGGCCAAGGUAAAUGCAGAUGAACCGCUUCUAAUAGUCCAUUGACUUGGACAAUACUUUUAUGAUCUGAUCUCAAAUCAGGUAGGACUACCCGCUGAACUGAAG